AUUUAAACGAAAGUACACAUACAUUACGAUCAACCGCAACUUACUUGCCUGCUUGAGUCUUGAACUGCUUACAGCCGAAAACCUAAAGGCAGUGUGAUAUGGAAGAGACAAGGACUCCCAGUAAACCUGUAAUAAUCUGAAAUCUGAUACUUUGCUAGAAAGACGAAAGUUCAUCAAUUCAACCCACCAUCUUUGUCUUUAAGAGCUUCAGAUCUGGCAUACCUGUAGAAGAGAUCUUGUACCAAAACGUGGCCUAAGACCUUACAAGAAGCAUUGGCUUGACACAAGUGUCACUAAAGGAGUACCGCAUAAAAUCCUUUGAAGCGGUACAAUGUACCUGUCUACUUGACAUAUCAGGGGCAAGAGGCGUUCAAAGCAAUAGGCGGGGCGGUAUUACAAAUAUUAAGUGAAAAAAGGGCAACUAAAAUAAGGCGGAGUGCAAUGUAACAGGUGGUGGAAGGUAUAGCCAAUAGCACUUUGCUCACUUGAAGAUGAUGUGUCCGGAAAUAAGGAAUGCGUCCAGCUACGUCCACUAGAUUUGCUUGUGAUGAAGAAGAGCAAGGACAACACAACCGCUUGAGCCUGAAUAACUGAUGCAGAAACGUUACGUGGCGUGACAAGAUGUGAUUUCGACGUCAACAACGCCAACCAAAAUAGGGGUGAGCUUGAGGAAUAGGUACAUUGUUGAGCUAUAACAUAGGAUAUUUCUUCGCUUUUAUUUAGAAAUUAUUAUUAAUUUGUCCAUAUUUUGGUUAACUUUAAUAUGAGAUUUUGUCAAUUAAAUAAAGAUGUUGUCAUGGAUGCAAUGGGACAUUUAUGCGGCUCAAAAAGCAUCA
rnacentral:lncRNA from 1 species